ACACGGGGGGUGCGAGCGUUGUCCGGAAUCACUGGGCGUAAAGGGCGUGUAGGCGGGUUGGUCAGUCAGAUGUGAAAGCCUGCGGCUUAACCGUAGAAAUGCAUUUGAAACUGCCGGCCUUGAGUGCGAGAGAGGGUAGUGGAAUUCCCAGUGUAGCGGUGAAAUGCGUAGAUAUUAGGAAGAACACCAGUAGCGAAGGCGGCUACCUGGCUCGCAACUGACGCUAAUGCGCGAAAGCGUGGGGAGCGAACAGGAUUAGAAACCCCAGUAGUCC
rnacentral:rRNA from 1 species